GGGUCGGUCGGAGUGAUCGCUGGUGUUUUGCCGCAAGGCAGGAUGCCAGAGGAAAGUCCGGACACCACAGGGCAGCAUGCCACAUGAAAGUGUGGGGGCUGCGGUGCAAGCCGCGGUCACAGACAGUGUCACAGAAAACAAACCGCCCUUCUUCGCUCUCACGAGCUACGAAGGGUAAGGGUGAAACGGCGGGGUAAGAGCCCACCGCCCCAACCGCGAGGAAGGGGGCACGACAAACCUCAUGCGGUGCAAGACAGAACAGGAGAAAGGCCCGCCUGGCCGCAAGUCCCGCAAGGGAUGGAUAACUCCGGGUAAUAGUCGCGCCAUCGCGCAAGCGAGGGCAGGCCGGUCGCUCGGCCUGACAGAUAAAUGAUCACAGCCAGGCGUCGCAAGACGUCGGGGACACAGAAUCCGGCUUAUGAGGGCCGAUCCACAU
rnacentral:RNase_P_RNA from 1 species